UACAACCCUGUCUACUCUCAGG
rnacentral:miRNA from 1 species